rnacentral:rRNA from 1 species
CCUUCGGGGUACACGAGCGGCGAACGGGUGAGUAACACGUGAGCAACCUGCCCCUGACUCCGGGAUAAGCGGUGGAAACGCCGUCUAAUACCGGAUACGACCCGCCACCUCAUGGUGGAGGGUGGAAAGUUUUUCGGUCAGGGAUGGGCUCGCGGCCUAUCAGCUUGUUGGUGGGGUAACGGCCUACCAAGGCGAUUACGGGUAGCCGGCCUGAGAGGGCGACCGGCCACACUGGGACUGAGACACGGCCCAGACUCCUGCGGGAGGCAGCAGUGGGGAAUAUUGCGCAAUGGGCGAAAGCCUGACGCAGCGACGCCGCGUGGGGGAUGACGGCCUUCGGGUUGUAAACCUCUUUUACCACCAACGCAGGCCCGGAGUUUUCUUCGGGUUGACGGUAGGUGGGGAAUAAGGACCGGCUAACUACGUGCCAGCAGCCGCGGUAAUACGUAGGGUCCGAGCGUUGUCCGGAAUUAUUGGGCGUAAAGAGCUCGUAGGCGGCGUGUCGCGUCUGCUGUGAAAGACCGGGGCUUAACUCCGGUUCUGCAGUGGAUACGGGCAUGCUAGAGGUAGGUAGGGGAGACUGGAAUUCCUGGUGUAGCGGUGAAAUGCGCAGAUAUCAGAGGAACACCGGUGGCGAAGGCGGGUCUCUGGGCCUUACC